rnacentral:snoRNA from 1 species
GCACAAUUCUCUGACACAAUUUGAGCUUGCUACAGCAAGGAAGUCUAUCUAACCUAUGCCCCUGUUCUCUUACCCCCGAGGCAAGCUGUUAUAGGCUCAGAGAAA